rnacentral:rRNA from 1 species
UACGUAGGGGGCAAGCGUUGUCCGGAAUCAUUGGGCGUGAAGCGCGCGUAGGCGGCCCGGUAAGUCCGUUGUAAAAGUCAAAGGCUCAACCUUUGAAAGCCGAUGGAUACUGCCGGGCUAGAAUCCGGAAGAGGCGAGUGGAAUUCCUGGUGUAGCGGUGGAAUGCGCAGAUAUCGGGAGGAACACCAGUGGCGAAGGCGAGUCUCUGGGAUGAUGCUGACGCUGAGGCGCGAAAGCCAGGGGAGCAAACGGG